GUAGGUGGCAAGCGUUGUCCGGAAUUAUUGGGCGUAAAGCGCGCGCAGGCGGUCCUUUAAGUCUGAUGUGAAAGCCCACGGCUCAACCGUGGAGGGUCAUUGGAAACUGGGGGACUUGAGUACAGAAGAGGAAAGCGGAAUUCCAAGUGUAGCGGUGAAAUGCGUAGAGAUUUGGAGGAACACCAGUGGCGAAGGCGGCUUUCUGGUCUGUAACUGACGCUGAGGCGCGAAAGCGUGGGGAGCAAACAGGAUUAGAUACCCUGGUAGUCCACGCCGUAAACGAUGAGUGCUAAGUGUUAGGGGGGUUUCCCGCCCCCCUUAGUGCUGCAGCUAACGCAUUAAGCACUCCGCCUGGGGAGUACGGCCGCAAGGCUG
rnacentral:rRNA from 1 species